GACGAACGCUGGCGGCGUGCUUAACACAUGCAAGUCGAGGGGCAGCACAGGUAGCAAUACCGGGUGGCGACCGGCGCACGGGCGAGUAACGCGUAUGCAACUUGCCUAUCAGAGGGGGAUAACCCGGCGAAAGUCGGACUAAUACCGCACGAAGCAGGGGCCCCGCAUGGGGAUAUUUGCUAAAGAUUCAUCGCUGAUAGAUAGGCAUGCGUUCCAUUAGGCAGUUGGCGGGGUAACGGCCCACCAAACCGACGAUGGAUAGGGGUUCUGAGAGGAAGGUCCCCCACAUUGGUACUGAGACACGGACCAAACUCCUACGGGAGGCAGCAGUGAGGAAUAUUGGUCAAUGGGCGCGAGCCUGAACCAGCCAAGUCGCGUGAGGGAUGAAGGUUCUAUGGAUCGUAAACCUCUUUUAUAAGGGAAUAAAGUGCGGGACGUGUCCCGUUUUGUAUGUACCUUAUGAAUAAGGAUCGGCUAACUCCGUGCCAGCAGCCGCCGCCG
rnacentral:rRNA from 1 species